rnacentral:tRNA from 1 species
UGGCUCAGUGGUAGAGUGAGUGUCUAGAAUGCACAGUGCCCUGGGUUCAAGUCCCAG